rnacentral:rRNA from 1 species
CCUGUACUACCGAUAACCGUUUGAGAGAAGGGAUGACACAGUAGGAUAAGCUAAGCACACUGUUGGUUAUGUGUGCCCAAGCAUUGAGGCAGUCAAAGUAGGCAAAUCCGCUUUGAUAAUGCUGGGAUGUGAUGGGGAGCGAAAUUUAGUAGCGAAGUAGCUGAUUUCACACUGUCAAGAAAAGUCUCUAUCGAGGUUAAAGGUACCCGUACCGCAAACCGACACAGGUGGGUGAGGAGAGUAUCCUAAGGCCAGCGAGAGAACUGUUGUUAAGGAACUCGGCAAAAUGACCCCGUAACUUAGGGAUAAGGGGUGCCACCAU